rfam:Oryza sativa Japonica Group DNA, chromosome 12, cultivar: Nipponbare, complete sequence.
CUCAAGUUCCAUUUCUGUGCCUAACAAACUUUGAUCAUAUAUCUUAUUUAAUUUUAUUUAUAAUUAGUACUUUUAUUGUUAUAAGAUGAUAACACAUAAAUAGUACUUUAUGCGAAACUUAUGUUUUUAACUUUUUUUAAAAAUAUUUUAAAUAAGACAAACAAUUAAAGUUAGACACGGAAAAUCAUGGCCAUCCUCCUU